rnacentral:rRNA from 1 species
CCGGCGACCGGCGCACGGGUGAGUAACACGUAUGCAACCUGGCCGUGACAGAUGGAUAACCGGGAGAAAUCCCGCCUAAUACAGCAUGACGCCGGGAAGGGACAUCCCUUUCCGGCCAAAGGGGGCGACUCCGGUCACGGAUGGGCAUGCGGCGCAUUAGGUAGUUGGUGGGGCAACGGCCCACCAAGCCGAUGAUGCGUAGGGGUUCUGAGAGGAAGGUCCCCCACAUUGGAACUGAGACACGGUCCAAACUCCUACGGAAGGCAGCAG